UAUAACUCUCGAUGAUGUAGAUGCCGCUUUUAGCAGCUCAAAGGAACAUCUUGUGACCGAAAGAAAAGAGAAGCCAGUGUCCAUGAAUGCUUUCGAGCUUAUCUCUAGGUCACCUGGUUUCAGUCUUGAAAAUCUAUUUGAGAAGCAGAAGGCUGUUGCAAAGAGAGAAACCCGUUUUACUUCGCAAAGCCCUGCAAACGAGAUCAUGUCGAAGAUUGAGGAAACUGCAAAACCAAUGGGGUUCAAUGUACGAAAACGGGACUACAAGAUGAAGUUGCAAGGUGACAAAACUGGGAGGAAAGGACACCUCUCCAUAGCCACUGAGGUGUUUGAGGUGGCUCCUUCAUUGCAUAUGGUCGAGCUUCGGAAAACAGGGGGCGAUACGCUUGAGUUUCAUAAGUUCUACAAAAGUUUCUCUUCAGGAUUAAAAGACAUCAUGUGGAGAACUGACGAAAAUAACAUAGAAGGGAGCUAAUCUCUCUCUCCUCUUCAUAAUGCUGCUGUUAUGAAGUUGAUUCCUGAGAUGCAUUGCAGGAAUUUCCUGUCGUCUCAUCACCAACGUUGAAACGAGAACUACACAUGAUAGAGAAGCCUAAGAAAAUCUGUACUUUUUUCUUGUUUCUCAGAACUCAUUAAAUACAGAGUAAUUGUACAAAUAAUCAAAGUUUCUGUAAUAAGAGAAGUGUUUUCAUGCAAGACUACUUUUGCUUUUGCAUAGUCCAAUUUCUUCAAUUCCAAAUACUCAAUUUAAG
rnacentral:misc_RNA from 1 species